CAAUUUAAACCAAUUAAAAAAACAAGAGAAUUAUUAAAAUAAUUUAAAAAAAAUAAAAAAUUGUGAAAUGGUGCAA
rnacentral:rRNA from 1 species